rnacentral:rRNA from 1 species
AGAGUUUGAUCCUGGCUCAGGACGAACGCUAGCGGCAGGCCUAAUACAUGCAAGUCGAACGGUAAGGUCUCUUCGGAGAUACACGAGUGGCGCACGGGUGCGUAACGCGUAAACAACCUACCCUUUAGAGGAGAAUAACUUCUGGAAACGGGAGCUAAUACUCCAUAUACACUUAGUAUCGCAUGGUACAGAGUGGAAAUGCUCCGGCGCUAAAGGAUGGGUAUGCGUAACAUUAGCUAGUUGGUGAGGUAACGGCUCACCAAGGCAACGAUGUUUAGCUGGUCUGAGAGGAUGAUCAGCCACACGGGCACUGAGACACGGGCCCGACUCCUACGGGAGGCAGCAGUAAGGAAUAUUGGUCAAUGGGGGCAACCCUGAACCAGCCAUGCCGCGUGCAGGAAGACGGCCCUCUGGGUUGUAAACUGCUUUUAUUUGGGGCUAACUAUGUACUAUAGGUACAUUUGCAGGUACCAUUUGAAUAAGCACCGGCUAACUACGUGCCAGCAGCCGCGGUAAUACGUAGGGUGCAAGCGUUGUCCGGAUUUAUUGGGUUUAAAGGGUGCGCAGGCGGCCUUGUAAGUUAGUGGUGAAAGCGUCCAGCUUAACUGGAUACCCGCCAUUGAUACUAUAAGGCUUGAGUGUGUCAGAGGAGGUUGGAAUGCGUGGUGUAGCGGUGAAAUGCAUAGAUAUCACGCAGAACACCGAUUGCGAAGGCAGAUCUCUAUGACAUAACUGACGCUCAGGCACGAAAGCGUGGGGAGCGAACAGGAUUAGAUACCCUGGUAGUCCACGCUGUAAACGAUGAUCACUAAGUGUUCGGCCUUCGGGUUGAGUGCUCAAGCGAAAGCGAUAAGUGAUCCACCUGGGGAGUACGUCNGCAACGAUGAACUCAAGGAAUUG